rnacentral:rRNA from 1 species
UAGUAACUGCGAGUGAAGCGGGAAAAGCUCAAAUUUAAAAUCUGGUGGUCUCUCUGGCCAUCCGAGUUGUAGUCUGGAGAAGUGCUUUCCGCGUUGGACCGUGUACAAGUCUCUUGGAACAGAGCGUCAUAGAGGGUGAGAAUCCCGUCUUUGACACGGACUACCAAUGCUUUGUGAUGUGCUCUCAAAGAGUCGAGUUGUUUGGGAAUGCAGCUCAAAAUGGGUGGUAAAUUCCAUCUAAAGCUAAAUAUUGGCGAGAGACCGAUAGCGAACAAGUACCGUGAGGGAAAGAUGAAAAGCACUUUGGAAAGAGAGUUAAACAGUACGUGAAAUUGCUGAAAGGGAAACGCUUGAAGUCAGUCGCGUUGGCUGGAACUCAGCCUUGCUUUUUUUGCUAGGUGCAUUUUCUGGUUGACGGGCCAGCAUCAAUUUUGAUUGUUGGAUAAAGGCUGGGGGAAUGUAGCACCUUCGGGUGUGUUAUAGCUCUCGGUCACAUACAACAGUUGGGAUUGAGGAUCUCAGCACGCCUUUAUGGCCGGGGGUUUACCCACGUUCGUGCUUAGGAUGCUGGCAUAAUGGCUUUAAACGACCCGUCUUGAAACACGGACCAAGGAGUCUAACAUGCCUGCGAGUGUUUGGGUGGAAAACCCGAGUGCGUAAUGAAAGUGAAAGUUGGGAUCUCUGUCAUGGAGAGCACUGACGCCCGGUCCUGACCUUCUGUGACGGUUCCGCGGUAGAGCAUGUAUGUUGGGACCCGAAAGAUGGUGAACUAUGCCUGAAUAGGGUGAAGCCAGAGGAAACUCUGGUGGAGGCUCGUAGCGAUUCUGACGUGCAAAUCGAUCGUCAAAUUUGGGUAUAGGGGCGAAAGACUAAUCGAACCAUG